AGUGCAAAUGUAUCAAACAGCACACACAAUGGAAUGAAACAAACCUGGAUUUUAGUUCUAUUAUCACUAUUUCCUAGCUAGCUAACUUCUUCCUUUUCAUUAAUUACUGUGACCAAUUAUUAUUCAAGAUAAAUUAUUAAUAUCUCUAUUGUGUGACUCUUUGGAUUGACUAUAAUGCAGUCAAAGUGAUACCACACUGCUUGGCACAUGGUAGUAAUUGUACUGCUAAUAUAUUUAUAAAUAGUUGUCUUUUAAUGCAAAUUAUGUAUAUGCCAUCAAAUUUGAGAAAAGAAUGUAGAAGUGUAAAAACUGACUGAGAUAGCAAAGAGUCAUAUCUUUGAGUGUCAAUCAUCUGGUCAAUUCCAGGGAAGAGUACUUAUGGAGACACAGGCAUACGUGAGGGCAGAGGAAGGAGAGGAAAGCAUCAGGCUGACUUCAUUCCUGUUUAGCGGGGCCACUAUUCUCUCCAACUAUUUUAGUUUUAUUGCAUGUUUCUAAAUCCAUAAAGCACUGAUCCAGACUGAUGAAAAACACACUGGGAUCUUUUCUCUUUUGAUGGUUCACACGGCAACUUCAUUUUUGUUGCUGGAUUUCCCUAGUUGUGUAGAGGAUUUUCUGGUUUUGCUGGCAUAAUUCUUGAUUGGAAACAAUCGUGCAGAAACAGCUAUUAUGACUUGAGAGUGAUAUUGCAUUCCAGGUAUCAUUUUUGUCUUUGUAAAAUAGAUAAAAUAAUAGGGAUUUAGCCAAUACCUUUUCUUUGUGGAGAAAAAAAAAAUCAAACUCUUCAUUAUUUUGCACCAUCUCCCAAAUUCUAAUUUUAAUCUAGACUUUGUAAAGAAUGACCAAUGCCUAAUAAUAUUUCUGCUAUAAUUUUCCAGAUUAUAGCAAAUUAAUGCUUUGGUAGCGGGAUGGAGGUGAGGGAAGAGUGAAGGACUUAUUCAACAAAUAUAUAUAAUGGAAUCAGUGACCUCCAAGACCUCUGACAUCCCUGGAGGCUUGUAAAAGGAGUACUUACAGAUGGCAGCUUGCAGUGGAAAGGAACUGAACUGUAUCUGAAGAUCAAUACUUAUGGUAUUGCUCUAAAUCACAAUUUAGAAAAUAAGAAAUAAUGGCUAAUGAGAAAUAACAGUUAAAUUGUUACAAACAAUCAAAAGGGUGUUGCUGGAGAAACCAGGUCUUCGCAUUGCUUUAUUGCAAGGCCAAUAAAGAAAAUGGAAACAAAAUCUAACUACAAUGUUUCACAAUGUUAUUUAAUAUGAAGCUGUCAAAGAUACAAAAAUAGAAGAUUUGCAUAUUUGUUUGAAUAAAUUGAGCCUGAGGAAGUUCAAUCAAUAACUUACAUUAAGACCUUUAAUUGCAUAAGUUUUUUGACUGAGAUUUAACUUCAUUUUAUUCAAAAGGACCCCAGAGACACAUUAUCCUUCAGUCAAGUACAGAGCCCUUACAUGUUGUUGAGAUUUUGCCACACUAUUUGUGACAAUAAACCAGAGAUUGAAAUAGUGGUCAGCAUGAUUAACCAUGUACCAAAUCUUUACAUAAGGAAGUAAAUUUGAUGCAUAUUUAAAAUGAAAUUCAUUUUUUUGGGUAGAAGAGUUUUUCUUAGCAACAUAAAAAAACUCAAAUUACUACUUAGCAUUACAGAAAAUAUUUCAAGAAUUAGCUUAUGGUCUAUGAAAAUGUCCAAUAAUUAUAGUCCUUUUUUUCUACUAGGUUGGGAACUAGGUUUCAAUAAAAGGCUUUAGAUUUAAAUAAUCAAUUUCACUAUGUUGUGUGUUUGCCUGUCAAUACUUAAAUAAGAAUAAAAUGAAGAAUAAUGGAUCUGAUCUAUUGUAAUUAACUAUGUGAGUUUUGUUCUGACAGUAACUAACAUGGGAAGAAAUGAUCAUGAAAAGGCCCUUGAGAGGGCAGUGGGCCCAUUCCCAUAACUUUUAUUCUAAUAAAACAGAGGAUGUCGAUUUUUUAUUCCCUUAUUAUAGAUAGAACCUCAUCACUUAUAUAUUCACCUUGGAUUGAGGGGACGUUAGUCAUGGCUGAGUACUCUGAUUUCCCCCCUCCAGCUGGACAGUUUAAUGAACAGACUCACUCCUUCAGGACCAAAUGAGAUAAUGCAUGCAAAAUCACUUCGAAGAGCUUAAGGAAAAAAAGAAAUACUAAAACUGUGCUUCUGAUUCCUAUAAUCAUGUAAGGAAUGAGAUUCUUCAACUGAGAGAUGUCAAGGUGGGCAUAUGGCUGCUAUGUCAAUAUCUGCUGAGUGACCUUUCACAGGACACUCAGAAAGAGGACCAAGAGGUGAAGAUUGGAUGAUGCAGAGAACUCAGAGAAAAGACAGGUUAUCCUCAAGGGAAGCUCAAACUUCACUUCUCUAACCUCUGGGAGUUGAACCAGCAGAAGUUGCUAUCCUUCAGUGGUCUGACACUGCAGUGUUUUCUUUCAAGAAUAUUUUCUAUACAUUUUUUUUUUGCCAUAAACAAGCACUAGCAUGAUGAGAAUGAUUUAGAAUGAAGAAGAAACAUUUGACAUGAUAAGUGAAAAAGAAGUUUAACAGCAAAAACUUUGACUCUGGAAUUUGACUCACGACUAUGUAUUACAAAAUACUACAAAUAAGUGGAUGAUUCACAUCAAUAAUUAGAACAAAUACAAAAUCUCCUUGAAUAGGACACAGACCACACUUAGCACAAAGAAUGAUCAUGUGAAGACACAGUGAGCAACAGUCAUCUGCAAAGCAAGAUCUCAGGAAAUGAAUCUGCUGACACUGUAAUCUUGGACUUCUAGAGCCCAAAAUUUUGAGGAAAUGAAUUUCUGUUGCUUGAGUCAUGGUCUGCAUAUCUGUAUUAAUAUGCAUAGAUGUUGAUAUAAUAUAUUAUAGAUGAAUAAUAUAUAUAAACUAGUGUCUAGUGUUUGUCCUAUACCUUUGAUCAGUGAUGAGAAGGUUCAAAUUUAUGCCAGGCUAUUGUUCAUUAAAGAAAAAAAAUAGCAAAACUCCUCAACUCCUUUUGUAUUUAAGAUAUUUUUAAGAUUAUGCAGAACGCUUAGUUUCUUCUAAUUUGCCCUCUAUGUUCAGUGUGUGAUAGUUAAUUCUGCUGUUAAUGAGACAUAAAAAUAAAGAACAGCAGUAGAAAUGGUCUCAUGAAGCAUUUGAUGGAGCUGCUUCUUUCUCUCUGCACCUGCUUAGUUAAGCUUUUUAAGCAGAAGUCUAUUUGUUACAUAAUUGGAUAAUGAUUUAAUUUGAAUGAGUUAACAAUUUCACACCUUCUAAGCAUAAGGUGAAUACUAAGUAAAAUCACUACUCUAAUAUCCUCACAUAGGUCACUUUUAUUACCUAUAAUGGAACAAUGAGAUGAACUUGUAGUUUCAAAUUCAAAUACUCCAUUACUUGCACUAAUGGAGGGGAUAAGAACAACAGAUAAUCUGAGACAGUGUCAUUUAGGAUUAGCUAUGGAAUAUGUUUUGUAUUUUCAUUCCUUUAUGUUUGAUAGUGUAGGAAUACAUAUCAAUUCAAAUAAUAAAAUUAUCAUAUUUAAAACAACUACCCAACCUCUGAAUCCUACCAUUGUAUGUCUAUGCCUAAUAGUCUUCAUAAUAUUCUCCUUGCAGUGAAUUGAAUAAUACAAUAUAUUUUAAUUGGCAUAUUUUAUCAAUUUAAUUUUAGUAAUAUUGGUAUUAUUUAAAUGACAUAUGUCAUUUAUCAGACCACUCCAGGUCCCAGGGCUCCAAUAGAUAUUCAUUGCUUAAUUGUUGCUAGUGCCAGUCAGUUGAUUUCCCAGCAUUAGAGUUACUGAUCUUAGUUAAAAACAGGAAAGGUCAUUAUUUACUGAGACUCAAAUGUCUUUCUCACCUCUUUCAUAGCACAAAUUAGCAUACACAUUAGUUAUUAAUGCUAGAAAAUAAUGAGGUGACUGCUUCCAGGGAAACAGGAUGCAUGUUUAGUAAGUUAUAGUAAGAAGUAUGGGCAACUGUAAUUUUUUGGUAAAACAAAUCUAAGGUUCAAUUGCAGCACUGAUCUUAAACCUCACUCUCAAGAUCUUCUCCAUAGAGUAUCCACUGAAAUAAACAUCAAACACCUGACCUAUUCUGUGAUUCCCUUCUUUGAACCUAUAAAUGACUUCAUUGCACUUAACAACAACAAAAAUAAUAAAAAUAAUAUUGAAGUU